rnacentral:rRNA from 1 species
AUCCAGACUCCUACGGGAGGCAGCAGUGGGGAAUAUUGCACAAUGGGGGAAACCCUGAUGCAGCGACGCCGCGUGAGUGAAGAAGUAUUUCGGUAUGUAAAGCUCUAUCAGCAGGGAAGAAGGAGGACGGUACCUGACUAAGAAGCCCCGGCUAACUACGUGCCAGCAGCCGCGGUAAUACGUAGGGGGCAAGCGUUAUCCGGAUUUACUGGGCGUAAAGGGAGCGCAGGCGGCGCGCCAAGUCUGAUGUGAAACCCCGGGGCUCAACCCCGGGCAUGCAUUGGAAACUGGCGGGCUGGAGUGCCGGAGAGGUAAGCGGAAUUCCUAGUGUAGCGGUGAAAUGCGUAGAUAUUAGGAGGAACACCAGUGGCGAAGGCGGCCUGCUGGACAGCGACUGACGUUGAGGCUCGAAAGCGUGGGGAGCAAACAGGAUUAGAUACCCCUAUA